rnacentral:rRNA from 1 species
GACGAACGCUGGCGGCGUGCCUAACACAUGCAAGUCGAACGGUAAGGCCCUGCUUUUGUAGGGUUCUCGAGUGGCGAAAGGGUGAGUAUCACGUGAGUAACCUGCCCUUUACUUUGGGAUACCUCCAGUAAACUCGGGUUAAUACCGGAUAUAAGCACUUGAUGCAUGGUGGGGGUGGGUAAGUUACGGCGGUUCGGGAUGGACUGGCGGUCUAUCAGUUUGUUGGUGGGGUAGUGGCUUACCAAGGCUCUGAGGGGUUGCCGGCCUGAGAGGGUGACCGGCCACAUUGGGACUGAGAUACGGCCCAGACUCCUACGGGAGGCAGCAGUGGGGAAUAUUGCACAAUGGGCGGAAGCCUGAUGCAGCAACGCCGCGUGCGGGAUGACGGCCUUCGGGUUAUAAACCGCUUUCGCCUGUGACGAAGCGUGAGUGACGGUAAUGGGUAAAGAAGCACCGGCUAACUACGUG